CGUAGGGUGCGAGCGUUAAUCGGAAUUACUGGGCGUAAAGCGUGCGCAGGCGGUUAUAUAAGACAGAUGUGAAAUCCCCGGGCUCAACCUGGGAACUGCAUUUGUGACUGUAUAGCUAGAGUACGGCAGAGGGGGAUGGAAUUCCGCGUGUAGCAGUGAAAUGCGUAGAUAUGCGGAGGAACACCGAUGGCGAAGGCAAUCCCCUGGGCCUGUACAGACGCUCAUGCACGAAAGCGUGGGGAGCAAACAGGAUUAGAUACCCUGGUAGUCCACGCCCUAAACGAUGUCAACUGGUUGUUGGGUCUUCACUGACUCAGUAACGAAGCUAACGCGUGAAGUUGACCGCCUGGGGAGUACGGCCGCAAGGUUG
rnacentral:rRNA from 1 species